rnacentral:rRNA from 1 species
UACGAAGGGGGCUAGCGUUGUUCGGAAUCACUGGGCGUAAAGGGCGCGUAGGCGGCCACCGCAAGUCGGUUGUGAAAUCUCUGGGCUUAACCCAGAAAGGUCAACCGAUACUGCGGGGCUAGAGUGCAGAAGGGGCAACUGGAAUUCUCGGUGUAGCGGUGAAAUGCGUAGAUAUCGAGAGGAACACCUGCGGCGAAGGCGGGUUGCUGGGCUGACACUGACGCUGAAGCGCGAAAGCUAGGGGAGCGAACGGG